rnacentral:lncRNA from 1 species
CAUUAGUGGUAAUAAUCAUCCAUCAUAGUCCUGAUCAGUUCUUUGUUUAGUUAAUUCCUUUGAAUACCAACACUUUACACUUCCAAGACUGUAGCUCCUAACUGUAGACACGACUAUUCAAAUAGGUUUUAUACUAUACGGAGGUUUUACACUAUUCCCACAAGUAAAGCAUUUCUUUAGUCAACCCAUUACAUUGACUGAUAC